GAAUAUUGGGCAAUGGACGGAAGUCUGACCCAGCCAUGCCGCGUGCAGGAAGAAGGCCUUCUGGGUUGUAAACUGCUUUUAUAUAAGAAGAAAAAACUCUUGCGAGAGGAACUGACGGUACUAUAUGAAUAAGCACCGGCUAACUCCGUGCCAGCAGCCGCGGUAAUACGGAGGGUGCAAGCGUUGUCCGGAUUUAUUGGGUUUAAAGGGUGCGUAGGCGGACCUGUAAGUCAGUGGUGAAAGCCUCCAGCUCAACUGGAGAACUGCCAUUGAUACUGCAGGGCUUGAGUACAGACGAGGUUGGCGGAAUUGAUGGUGUAGCGGUGAAAUGCAUAGAUACCAUCAAGAACUCCGAUUGCGUAGGCAGCUAACUAGGCUGUAACUGACGCUGAGGCACGAAAGCGUGGGGAGCGAACAG
rnacentral:rRNA from 1 species